GUGCUUGCUUCAGCAGCGCAUAUACUAAAAUUGGAAUGAUACAGAGAUUAGCAUGGCCCCUGCACGAGGAUGACACGCAAAUUCGUGAAGUGUUCCAUAUUUUU
rnacentral:snRNA from 1 species